rnacentral:rRNA from 1 species
UACGGAGGGUGCAAACGUUUGCUCGGAAUCAUUGGGCGUAAAGCGCACGUAGGCGGCUUCUUAAGUCAGGGGUGAAAUCCUGGAGCUCAACUCCAGAACUGCCUUUGAUACUGAGGAGCUUGAGUCCGGGAGAGGUGAGUGGAACUGCGAGUGUAGAGGUGAAAUUCGUAGAUAUUCGCAAGAACACCAGUGGCGAAGGCGGCUCACUGGCCCGGUACUGACGCUGAGGUGCGAAAGCGUGGGGAGCAAACAGG